rnacentral:tRNA from 1 species
UUAUUUAUAACAAUGUGUUAAAUUAAUAAUUUAAUAAAAUAAAA